rnacentral:tRNA from 1 species
UGGCUCGUAGCUCAGUGGUAGAGCACUACCUUGACACGGUAGGGGUCGCUGGUUCGAUACCAGUCGAGCCAACCA